UCAGAGAUGGUGGCCCAUUUCCAACUGGUCUGAGCCAGUUUUGACUGGUCUGAGCCAAUCAAGAUUUUCUCUUUCCCCUUGCCAGUCAUGAAUUUCAGAAUGAGUACAUGACCCAAGUUUGGGAAAUGAUAGAUGAAAGUACAUCUGCUGGGGCUCUUCUGAGGAAGGAAUGUUUCCUUCUCUUCCCUUGGAUGUUGUGAUAUCUGACGUGAGGACUGGAACUGCUGCAGCCAUCUUACCUCUAGCCUGAAUCAGAUGUUAAUAUUCACAGUGCAGAGCAAAUCCAGCAAUAUUACAGGGAAGAGAAAAUGAAUUUUGUGUAAUAUAUCCUGAUAACCAUGGCAUCUUAGCAUUAGAUAACAGGUCAAGGGGAGUCAAGGUGUCUAAACAAGAAGUCCAGAGACCCAUAGAAUAGAAAAGCAGCCAAGAAUGGUAUUCUGGAAGUCCCUCGAGGGAUACAUAUGAUUGCUCUUAGGGCCCGCUCUGAUAAUCCGGGAUAAUCCUGACUCAGGAGCCUCCACUUCAGUCACACCUGCAAACAGCUUCUGCACAAGUCCAGGUUCUAGGAAUAUCUCCUGAGGACACGCUUAUCUUUGGAGGCCCAUUUUCAGCCCACCGUAAGUGGCAUCAUCCUGGAGCCUGAACUUGGGACAGUAGCCUCUACUUCUCCAGAUAGAUUCCUGCUGUGGUGGGGGAGAUACUGCCUGGAGCACCAGUUGUUCUGGGCGUCAUUCCUAAGAGCCAAAGCCUGAAGCCUCCUCCAGCCCUUCCGUGAUUGGAUUUGCGCCCAACGCCCUGUCUGCCUGAACCAUGAGAGUGUCUCUGUUAUGUGCAACUCAAUCCUACAUCCACCGAUAUGAUCACCUGUUGACACCAUUUUUUACAUUUCUCUUUCUACAUUUGUAUCUGCAUAACUUGGCUAGAACUUUGCUGUAUAACAGGUACAGAGAAUAAAACACUCUUCUUGCUUUGUGGUAA